UUUUCGUCUGCCUUUGCUCGUAACAUGUCUUGUCUGAAUGAAAUUAAUAUUAUUAUUUUCUAAAUCAUAUUAUUUUUAAUUAUUAAUUAUUUUCCCUUUCUCACAUUAUUUUGGAUUUUCGACCAAAAUUUUCGCAAGCUCGAAAGUCCUCUCUUUUUCUUUCGCUCGUUCGAUGGCUUGCACGUUCACUUUCUCAAUUCCUAGGGUUUCUGUUCAUCCUCUUGAGGUAUUUUCAUUUUGCAGAUCUAGUUUGGAUUUAUUUAAAAUGCAUCCUCCAGCUCUAGAUCGCACUCUUUCUCUAUGGAAUUUGUUGACAUUUGAUCGUUUCAUGUUUUCAUUAUGCUGAAAGGUUUGAUUUUUUGUUUGAAUUUGUUGAUGUAGCAGAUUGAAGACUUUUUAUUAUUAUUAUUAUCUGUUGUUAUUGUUAUGGCAAAAUUAAAACACAUGAAAUUUGAACAUUCGUCAUGGAGAAUUUGAACAUUCUUCAUUUAAUCCAUGCUAUAGCUAAAACUAAAACACAUGAAUUUGAACAGAUGAAAUUCCUGUGGUUCAGCUAUUGUACAACGAUGUUAGGCAACUCAAAAGAUAGAUAGAUAGAUUUAUUAGUGCUCUUGUUGUAAGCUUAUUUGAGAAGUAACGUUGAUCAUUAGUUUGUCCUCUUUGUUUUGCUUUUGAUCCUGAGCAACAAGCUUAGCUUGAGCCUCGAAAUUGUUGCCAUGUUAUCGUUUUAUAUUAUCUUAUUCGUUUAUAAUUUUAUACUUCUAGAAUGCCUUACAAUGAUUUCCCUCGCUCACAUGCCCACCUUUUCCCAUUCUGUUAGACUCUUAGUCAGGUCAAAUUUAAUUAUUGCCUUGUUUAAUUGGUCUGUUCUGUGCAUGCUAAUCACUUCCUUUCUCUUACAUGAAUUCAUUUCACAAUCAGGUUUCAUAUACAUAAUCUUUAUGUUGCAGAGAAAUUUCAAGUUUUUAAUCCUGGAAAAGGAACGGUAUUGUAAUCUGGGACAAGAAACGAUACUGGAAGUGAAAAAACUAGGUCAUGAUGGUUGAUUUGGGCAUUUAACUUGCAAGGGUAGUGACCAGCCUGGAUGGGUAUGGUCCAUUUCUUUUGGUAUGGCUGGUCACUGGGUCAUUUGGGCUUCUAGCCAUCAUCUUUGCAUUUCUUAAAUGGCAGAAAAGGACAUCUCUAAAUUGGGUUAAAGCUGCAGCUAGAGCAAAGAAAGAAGUCUGAAAAAGCUAAAAGUUCCUUUAUCACAUCAUACGUGGAUGGAAGAUAUGACUAACGGUGAACAGCCAUCCACUUCUUGUGUUUGCUUGACUUCCUUGGUGUUUCUUCAUAACCAAGGAACAAAAGCCUCUUAUCGCACUCCUGUUCAUCAUUGCUCUGUUUGUGGUGUAGCAGCUCAUUUCUAUUGUUCUCAGUACGCAGUAAGGGAUUGCAAGUGUGUGGCACGAGCUGGUUUUACCCAUGUCCGACACCACUGGUCCGAAAGAUGGGUUAAUGUGCAUGAUAAUCCGGAGAUCUCGGCCUUCUGUUUUUAUUGUGAGGAGCCAUGUAGUGUUCCUCUCCUUGAUGCUUCUCCUACAUGGCAUUGCCUAUGGUGUCAGCGCCUCAUACAUGUCAGAUGUCACAACAAAAUGGCAAAAGAAUGUGGUGAUGCUUGCGAUUUUUGUACUCUUAGCAGAAUUAUUAUUUCUCCUUUGUGUGUGAAAGAAGUUGGCCACUAUAAUGGAGGUUACUGUGAGAAUAGCAAUAUUGAACAGAAUUUUAACAGGGAGAAGCAGAGAAUCUUAGGAGAAGAAUUGAUGUAUUCAUUCAUUGAUUUAUCAAC
rnacentral:lncRNA from 1 species